UAACGGCAUCAGAACUCGUUCAAGAAGGCAGCUCUCACGUGACGUCUUCAAAAGUGGGAGCAUGCUCUUGCUCAAGAACACCGUUGGCUUCAAAAGUGGGGGAGUAGGCUGAGCUGCCAACAUCAAUCUGUAAAACCCAUUCAAGAACGCAGUACUCAGCUCUCAUUCUCAAGGAUCUCGACGUCUUUCUCUCCCUAAAAGUUUCCCCACAGAGAUUAAACUAUAUGAAUGAGGCCUACAUAACUUCUUGGGCAGCCAUAGUGGAUCCACCAAAAAUGGAUGAAAGCCCAAAAGCGAUCAGUAGCAGCUUUUCAAGACUUGUAUGAGGAACUGAAUCACCCACCACAGUUGGAGAAGUAGAGAUCAGAUGUUGGGGAUCCAUGUGAUGAAUCAUGGAAGGGAGUCAUGUUUUAGGUGAAUUAUCAUUUUCAUGUAAUGCAACAUAGGUCCUCUUUAACUAUGUGCACAAUUUGGAUGAUACGUGAUGGACAUCUUGGAGGCCAGCUCCAUAAUCUCUAUAAUUUGAAGCAACUAUAUGAGUUAUAUCGAUUUAGAUUUAGGUUUAUGUAAAAUUAUGUGAGUUUUAUUCACUAAUUGUUUUUUCAAUUUAUGCUUUCUAUUAGGGAUGUAAGCUCCAAUGACAGUCAGGGUGAAAUUCCUUACAGGUUACCCCUAGUGCCACUGAUAUAUGAGAUGCUUGAUUAUUAGUUUCUAUUAGCAUUCUUAAUGAUUUAUUUAAUUUUAUCUAUGGUUUCAUUUUCUAUAAAUGCAGAAAUUUGGCAUGCUAGAAAUUGAGUCAAAAUACUUCUUAGUCUCACACUUUAAUGAAAAAUCUUCAAUUGUUUGUCCUGGUAUUGCCUAUUUGACUGGUUACUAUAGUUGGUUUAGUUUAAUGAUUCAAAAAUGGAAAUUUCAUUCUUCCAGGGAUUUGAGCCUCAAUUCAUUAUUUGAACUCAUUGGCAACGUGUUUGCGGGCUUACAAAAACUAAAAGAAAUGUAUAAUUACCAGCCUGUAUGACUUGAAAGGAAGCAAGACAGUUAUACUAUUGGUAUUACAUGGUGGUAGUGGUUUUUUUUUUUGAAGCUUAUGACACAAUGAUAAGCCCUCUUUGUAUUGAUGUUGUGUGUGUUAAUGUUCUAUCAUUGGAGUGGAAACUAGUUGGCAGUUGCAUGAAUUAUUUUAUACUCAUUUAGAAAUCAUAAUGUUUAUAUAUUAUCUAGCCUCUUCUGUUGGUAUCUUCUAUCAGCCAAAUUUCUAAGCCUUGAAAAUCAUAUUUGGAUCUGUUGUCAUAGGGAUCUAUCAUCAAGCUACUUUACUGAGUCUAUAUAUGAUCUUCUCGUCUGAUCUCCCACUUGUAGGUUCCUUCAUAGCAGUCUUUCUCAUAACCCGUUUUAUGUGUUUUUCUGAUUAUAAGACACGUUUUUUCUUGCCAAGAACAUCCAAAGCAACCAUUUUAGUGGCAUUAUCCCUAGUUGGGACCACUUGUGGGACACGUGGCAGUAGACCCUCCAUUCUGUUGGUAGAUUUCAGAGAAAGACAGAGAAAACCCAGAGAGCAGGAGGCUCCUUUGGCAGUGUGGGUGUUGGUUAGAGCAGAGAGAGCAGGUUGGGGGAACUGUUAGAGAGAGAGUGUGUGGGACAGUUGGAGAGGAGGAGAGAAACUAGCAGAGGGAUUUUUGUGAUCAUGACGGAAAAACCAGCAGAGGAAAUCCGGAGCAAAUAAAAACAAGCUGUGGGGGGUGGGUGUGUUUCUAAGGUUUUUGAGAGAGAACAGGGGAGAGGCUUGGAAAAAUGUUUUGAGAGCUGAAGUUGUGAGCAGGAGAGGGUGAAGUCUUGGUGGAGUUUUUCUAAGUGGUCUGAGAGAGGGAAUUUUAAAGAGAGUGACAGGGGUAUCCAUUUCAGAGGGGAAGCUACGGUUUUGUUGGUCCUAGAGGAAGAGAGAGCGUUGGAAGCUGAGCAAGCUUUGCUUGAGAGGCUCAGGCCAUGGGGUCAGAAUUUAAAAUCCAUUGGGUUUGGGGAGAUUGCGAGAGAAGGGUGGGGUGAGUUUCAUUCACCACCUGAUGCUUUCAAAGUAGAUUGUGAAGGCAGUGAGGUCCGGGUUCAGACUGAGACUACCUUUGCUAGAGAUCUGUCAGAUGGAUAUCCCAAGUUUGUUAAAGCUGAAGGAGCUUUGGGAUUGUACAAAUGUCUUGUUCCUUUUUGGGGAUGUCAGAUUCCAUAUGCAUUGAUCAAAUUUGCUUCUUUUGGGAUCAUUAUUGAGUACAAGGAUGCCAUUCCUACUCUGAAGGAUCAGUGCAAUAGAAGUCUGCAGCUUGGUGUAAGCUUUGCUGAUAGAUAUGGCUGGUGUUUUCUGCUCUAUUGUUUCUCAUUCAGCUGAUAAUCUUGUGUCCUUCCUCAACAAUCCUAAGGGAGUUGUGUCAUCCCUUCAGCUUUGACUGUGCUAGUGCUAUGACUGAGCAACUCCAGACAGCAAGGUGGGUACAAAGAAGGUUAAAAAAUGCUGUGGAAACUGUUCAGAGGAUUAAGAGAAUGGAGCUAAGCAAAAUACUUCCUUAAGGGGAAAUUCAGACUUCUUAAACCAAUGAACGUGCCUAUUUGGACUGCCAAUCCAUUUAUUAUUAUUUUUUUAUUCUCUCCACUCCCUACAUCUUCUCUGAAACCUUAUAAACCCUAACUCUCUCAACCAAAGGGGUUUUCAGAGCUCAAUCUUCUCCAUUAAUGGAUGAACUGGAACAACUAGAAACUCACUCUUGUCACAAGGAAGCCAUGCUUUGGCCUCCCAGCAACUUGCCCUUCUUGCUUGCCCGUUUACAUCUACCUCAGAUUCGCCCAAGUUCCCUUUGAUCUGAGUUUCAAUUUCAUUCAUCCUGAUUCUGAUCAGAUUCCUUGCAUUGAGUCUGGUGCUUAUGCGGCCUAUAACAAUAAGAAGAGUGGCAAACUUCUGAAGGGUAUUCUGCAUAUUUAUCUAAGUGGCCUGUGGAUCAGAAGUUGCAUUCAGAUUUAGCAUAUGGUCUCUCAAGUAAGUUUGACAUACAGGAAGCCGAUUGUGUGGAUUUACUGAAUUCUUUGGAGCCUGGACAUGCAUAUCCUGACGGGCAGAAAGGUCAUCCUUUGCGAAAUGGAUUUCAAAUACAGCUUUUAAAUUUGGAACAUGGAUUCUAUCAGAAAUCAGAUGCAGAAAGAAUAUCCUUGAUAGGACCUAGUUCAGGACACUCCCUCCAAUCACUCGGCUGUGACAUGUGAAUGAUAAAUGCCCUGAAGACACCAUACCCAUCAGAAGAACAAAGCAGGAUAAUAUUUGUAGUGUAUGUUCAGUGAAAAGAUAUGGAAGGAAGAGGCACGAGAUCAUUUCCUGCCAAGGUCUGCAGAUCCAGACCUCAAUCAAUGAGAGUGGCCAUCAGCAUGGAGUUGUUUAUGUUGAAGGAGAUAAAAACUAUGGAGUUAAAGCCACCAUUAAUGUUUGGGAACCCAAAAUACAACAGCCAAAUGAGUUCAGUCUGUCUCAGCUUUGGAUAUUGAGAGACUCCUUUGGUGAAGACCUUAACAGCAUUGAAGCUGAUUGGCAGGUCAGUUCAGAUCUACAUGGUCACAACAAUACAAGGCUAUUCACUCAUUGGACUAGUGAUGCAUGUCUGGCCACAACAUGCUACAGUCUUCUCUGCUCGGGCUUUAUUCCAAUCGACAGUGAAGUAGCAAUGGGCAAGAUGGUACUUCUAUGAUGAAAGUUGAGGUAAAGGUGCAGGCUCCAAAGCUCCGCCAUAUGCAUCUCAACUGUUUUGAAGCUGGUAUACCCCAGAAUGGUUAGACUCGUGAGCAUACUUUGCUUGCCUUCACCCUUGGUGUCAAGGAAAUAAUAGGUUGUUGCAAUGAGAUGUAUGCAACAACACCAAAGUAUUCUAAAGCCAAGAUGUUUACAAGAUUGGUGGUAUUGGCACUGUUCAUGUUGGUUGUGUUGAAACAGGCAUCCUUAAACUUGGUAUGAUUGUCACCUUUAGACCAAAUGGAGCGCUACUGUGAAGCCCUUGUCCAGGAGCCUGAGGAAAACCAGAAGCAGAUGCUGGAAGAAUUGCAGAAUCUUAGAAUUGAGCACUCUACUUGCGUGUACGCAAUUUCAUCCACGAAGGCCCAAAUGGAGACAAUGAAUCAAGACAUGAAUGAGCAGAUCUUAAGAUUUGCUGAGGAUGGACAUGACUUGGAUUCCCUUAAUCAGGAGCUUGAAAUAAGGGCUAUUACCUCUGAAGCAACACUUAAAAAGGCACACAGUCACUCAUUAUUAAGGAUGAGUGCUGCUUGUGCCACUUGGCCAUUGGUGGUAUGCAGAGAGUUGCUGUUACUGCUAAAACUCCUCUUAGAAUUAAAUCUAAAGAAGUUUCUGAGAUAAACUAUAAUACAUCUAUGCAAGAUAGGGGAAAUUCUACACCUACCUCAAGUACUGCUGAUGGUCAGAAAAACGCCAAGUCAAAGGAAGGGCCAGACUGGAAUCCAGACUUAAAAUUCAGGAGUAUAGGCAACCUACUAGGUUGUCCCUGCAGGCUUUAACCACCCCAACUGCGCUGUAUCAACACUGAGAAGCCUAUGGAGAUUGAUCAUCACUUGUAUGAAUUUGGAUUGGUGGAAUACCAUGUCCAGCUUUGCUACUGACGCUUUUUAGGAUAGUACAACUUCUGAAGCUCACAGUUUUUGGAAUUAUGUUGUCGUGAUGAUAAAGAGGUUCUAACCACCUAGGUUGUCGACAGCGUCCUGAACUUGGCGCAGGGGUUGCUCCACCUCGGCAUCUGUUCCGGAGAUGUCCUCGCCAUUUCUGUUCUCAACAGGUGCAUCCUGCUAACCUACACCUUUGGUGGUGGUGAUCAUGUACUGUGGGGGUUCUUUUUAGAGCGCAAGUUAGCAGGACCACUACAAGAAUAAUUGGAAAAUGGGGAUUCAGCACCAAGCCUAAGGCAAAUGAGGAUUCAGAACCAACCGAAGGUUACCGGUUAUCUCUUGUCUCACGCUCAUCAUUCAUAUUCUGCAUUUAUUUUUUAUUAUUUUGAAUUCUUGAAUUUUCUUUUUAAGAGAUAUUCAUCGGAGAUGAGAGAAUUUUCUAGCUCUGUUUUCCUCCUAUGGUCACAACUACUUAGAGAAAAUUCAUUGUUUAAUGAUUAUAACAAAUUGGGCCAAAUUGUAUAUUUUUAAUUU